ACGGGUGAGUAACACGUGGGUAACCUACCUAUAAGACUGGGAUAACUUCGGGAAACCGGAGCUAAUACCGAUAAUAUUUCGAACCGCAUGGUUCGAUAGUGUAAAGAUGGUUUUGCUAUCACUUAUAGAUGGACCCGCGCCGUAUUAGCUAGUUGGUAAGGUAACGGCUUACCAAGGCGACGAUACGUAGCCGACCUGAGAGGGUGAUCGGCCACACUGGAACUGAGACACGGUCCAGACUCCUACGGGAGGCAGCAGCC
rnacentral:rRNA from 1 species